rnacentral:rRNA from 1 species
GAUGAACGCUGGCGGCGUGCUUAACACAUGCAAGUCGAACGGUGAACGAGGGAGCUUGCUCCCUCCGGAUCAGUGGUGAACGGGUGAGUAACACGUGAGCAAUCUGUCCUGGACUCUGGGAUAAGCGUUGGAAACGACGUCUAAUACCGGAUACGAGACGAGAAGGCAUCUUCAGCGUCUGGAAAGAACUUCGGUCCAGGAUGAGCUCGCGGCCUACCAGGUAGUUGGUGAGGUAACGGCUCACCAAGCCUACGACGGGUAGCCGGCCUGAGAGGGUAACCGGCCACACUGGGACUGAGACACGGCCCAGACUCCUACGGGAGGCAGCAGUGGGGAAUAGUGCACAAUGGGCGCAAGCCUGAUGCAGCAACGCCGCGUGAGGGACGACGGCCUUCGGGUUGUAAACCUCUUUUAGCAGGGAAGAAGCGAAAGUGACGGUACCUGCAGAAAAAGCACCGGCUAACUUCGUGCCAGCAGCCGCCGUAACAC